UAGAAUUCUAAGCAUUUACUGUGAAACAUAAUCCUAAUCAAAAUGAAGUUUUGUACGACGGUAUUCACUUGCAGAUUUGGAUACUAUUGAUUUUUCAACAUCUGAUGACUAUGCUAUUGUUGUAGAAAAUUUGAAAAGCAUGAUAACCUUGGGACAAAAUGUGGAAACAUUUUGGAAUGAGGAACAUGAGCAACUUUUGUGGCAGUAUGUCAUUGAUCCUGAAUCAAAUCUCCUUGUAUGUUAUUUUUUUGAGGCAUGUUUAGUUGUAAAAUGCUCUAUUCCAGACGUUCCUGUUUUAGAAUUAUUUUACUUCAUCAAAAUUUCCACUGAAAAACUCACCUCAGAAAAUUAUAGCAUUAAAAUAAUAUGUGGAAGAGCUGAAUCACCUUAUUUUGAAAGUCUUUAUGAGUUACUUUGCAUCAUGUAUCUACCAAUAAUUUCAAAACACUUAGAGCUGCCAAAAUAUAUUAAGUCAGAGUACUUACCUCAGAUAUCAAAAUAUAUAAGGGAACUUUCGAAUUUAAGAAGUAAACUCCAAGGUGAACUGGUACUAUAUGUGCCCAGAGAGAUUGAAAAUCAAGAUACUGAAACCAUAAUUGAACAGAAGCAACUUUUAGAUGAUGUUGAAAGUAAUUAUUAAAUUUUUGUGUCCUUA
rnacentral:misc_RNA from 1 species